rnacentral:rRNA from 1 species
CGACUCUAGAGGGACGUGCCGGCGACAAGUCGGAGGAAGUGGGAUGACGUCAAUCAUCAUGCCCCUUAUGACCUGGGCUACACACGUGCUACAAUGGGCGGUACAAAGGGCUGCGAACCCGCGAGGGGGAGCGAAUCCCAAAAAGCCGCUCUCAGUUCGGAUUGCAGGCUGCAACUCGCCUGCAUGAAGCCGGAAUCGCUAGUAAUCGCGGAUCAGCAUGCCGCGGUGAAUACGUUCCCGGGCCUU